AUACGAACUGUGCGAACGUUAUUCGGAAUCACUGGGCUUAAAGGGUGCGUAGGCGGAUUGGUAGGUCAGAUGUGAAAGCCCACGGCUCAACCGUGGAAUUGCGUUUGAAACCACUAAUCUUGAGGGGAUCAGAGGAGAGCGGAACUGAUGGUGGAGCGGUGAAAUGCGUUGAUAUUAUCAGGAACACCGGUGGCGAAAGCGGCUCUCUGGGAUCCUUCUGACGCUGAGGCACGAAAGCUAGGGGAGCGAACGGGAUUAGAAACCCUAGUAGUCC
rnacentral:rRNA from 1 species